rnacentral:rRNA from 1 species
GAUGAACGCUAGCGGCAGGCUUAACACAUGCAAGUCGAGGGGCAGCGCGAUGUAGCAAUACAUUGGCGGCGACCGGCGCACGGGUGCGUAACACGUAUGGAACUUACCCUUUACUGGGAGAUAGCCCGGAGAAAUCCGGAUUAAUAUCCCAUAAUAAACGAAGUGGCAUCACUUUGUUUUGAAAGCUCCGGCGGUAAAGGAUGGCCAUGCGCACGAUUAGCUAGUAGGUGAGGUAACGGCUCACCUAGGCUACGAUCGUUAGGGGGCCUGAGAGGGUUAUCCCCCACACUGGUACUGAGACACGGACCAGACUCCUACGGGAGGCAGCAGUGGGGAAUAUUGCGCAAUGGAGGCAACUCUGACGCAGCCAUGCCGCGUGCAGGAAGAAGGCGCUACGCGUUGUAAACUGCUUUUUAACCGGGAAGAAACCCUCCGACGUGUCGGAGGUUGACGGUACCGGAGGAAUAAGCACCGGCUAACUUCGUGCCAGCAGCCGCGGUAAAGUAUCGUACGC